CCGCGGUAAUACGGAGGAUGCAAGCGUUAUCCGGAUUCAUUGGGUUUAAAGGGUGCGCAGGCGGAUUGGUAAGUCAGGGGUGAAAUCCCACAGCUCAACUGUGGAACUGCCUUUGAUACUGUCAGUCUAGAGUAUAGUUGAAGUGGGCGGAAUGUGUCAUGUAGCGGUGAAAUGCUUAGAUAUGACACAGAACACCGAUCGCGAAGGCAGCUCGCUAAGCUAUAACUGACGCUCAUGCACGAAAGCGUGGGGAUCAAACAG
rnacentral:rRNA from 1 species